rnacentral:rRNA from 1 species
AGAGCGAACGCUGGCGGCGUGCUUAACACAUGCAAGUCGAACGAGGUCUGUAGCAAUACAGAUACUCGUGGCGAACGGGUGCGUAACACGUGGAUAACCUUCCUUCAGGUGGGGAAUAACCCAGUGAAAAUUGGGCUAAUACCGCAUAACAUGACGAUGCCACAUGGUGUUGUCUUCAAAGGCGCAAGUCGCCAGAAGAGGGAUCCGCGGCCGAUUAGCUAGUUGGCGAGGUAAUGGCUCACCAAGGCAAUGAUCGGUAGCCGGACUGAGAGGUUGGCCGGCCACACUGGAACUGAGACACGGUCCAGACUCCUACGGGAGGCAGCAGUGGGGAAUCUUGCACAAUGGACGAAAGUCUGAUGCAGCAACGCCGCGUGGGGAUGAAGCUUUUCGGAGUGUAAACCCCUUUCGACCCGGAAGAAAGCCCGCAAGGGUUUGACGGUACGGGUAUAAGGAAGCCCCGGCUAACUACGUGCCAGCAGCCGCGGUAA